CUCGGCCUCCCAAAGUGCUGGGAUUACAGGCGUGAGCCAUUGUGGCAAGCCUAUCUUUUUAUUCUUUGUUGCUGAAUCUUCUUGAGAUUACAUUAGCUUCUUGGCGUUAAUUCUGUUAUCCUAUUCACAGGGUGGUAAUGAUAAAUACAUCUGUUAAAGAACUUAAAGGGUGCAUUUGUUUAUCUUUCAUGUUGAAUGACAUCAAGUAAACGUCUCCUACAAAGAUAAAACUUUUUUAGGUUUUUUCUGAAGGAAGUAGCUGUUGCGAAGCAAACGUAGUGAAUUUCUGAUAGAAUUCUGUGCUUUUUAAUACUUAUAAACGCUCCUUGCAAGCAUCUUCCCUGCUUACAGAUCAAUGUCUUUUUUCUUCAAGGGACAUGGCUUGCAGUGUGGCAGGCAUAACUUCUGAUGCUAAUGUUCUGACUAAUGAACUAAGGCUCAUUGCUCAAAGUAUUUAUUACAGUAUCAGGAGCCAAUACCUUGUGAGCAGUUGGUUACAGCACUGUGUGAUAUCAAACAAGCUUAUACACAAUUUGGAGGAAAACGUCCCUUUGGUGUUUCAUUGCUGUACAUUGGCUGGGAU
rnacentral:sRNA from 1 species